rnacentral:rRNA from 1 species
GAGUUUGUAUCGUGGCUCAGAUUGAACGCUGGCGGCAUGCCUAACACAUGCAAGUCGCGCGGAGUGUAGCAAUACACUUAGCGGCGGACGGGUGAGGAAUACAUAGGAAUUUGCCCUUAAGCGGGGGUAGCCCGGGAAACUCGGAGUAAUACCGCAUGAUGUCGAAAGACCAAAGCCGGGGACCGCAAGGCCCUGGCACUUUUGGAGAAGCCUAUGUCCGAUUAGCUAGUUGGUAGGGUAAUGGCCUACCAAGGCGACGAUCGGUAACUGGUCUGAGAGGACGAUCAGUCACACCGGAACUGAGACACGGUCCGGACUCCUACGGAGGCAGCAGUGGGAAUA